GUAUCUAAUUUCCCAAACUGGGAUUAGAUACCCCACUAUGCUUAGCCCUAAACAUAGAUAAUUUUACAACAAAAUAAUUCGCCAGAGGACUACUAGCAAUAGCUUAAAACUCAAAGGACUUGGCGGUGCUUUAUAUCCCUCUAGAGGAGCCUGUUCUAUAAUCGAUAAACCCCGAUAAACCUCACCA
rnacentral:rRNA from 1 species